rnacentral:rRNA from 1 species
UACGUAGGGGGCAAGCGUUGUCCGGAUUUAUUGGGCGUAAAGAGCGUGUAGGCGGCCUGAAAGGUCAGCUGUGAAAACUCGAGGCUCAACCUCGAGACGUCGGUUGAAACCAUCUGGCUAGAGUCCGGAAGAGGAGUGUGAAAUUCCCGGUGUAGCGGUGAAAUGCGCAGAUAUCGGGAAGAACACCAGUGGCGAAGGCGACUUACUGGACACAUAUUGACGCUGAGGUGCGAAAGCGUGGGGAGCAAACAGG